rnacentral:rRNA from 1 species
GCGAGCGUUGUCCGGAAUUAUUGGGCGUAAAGAGCUCGUAGGCGGCCUGUUGCGUCCGCUGAGAAAGCCCGGGGCUUAACCCCGGGUCUGCAGUGGAUACGGGCAGGCUAGAGGUAGGUAGGGGAGAAUGGAAUUCCCGGUGUAGCGGUGAAAUGCGCAGAUAUCGGGAGGAACACCGGUGGCGAAGGCGGUUCUCUGGGCCUUACCUGACGCUGAGGAGCGAAAGCGUGGGGAGCGAACAGG